AAUAAAUAAAUAAAUAAAUAGCUAUUCAUAAGGACAGAAUGGAUGAAGGGGAGCUCAAAAAAUUACUGAUAAAUAAAUAAAUAAAUAAUUCUAGCACAUGCUGUAAAUUUUGAAAAUGCAGAAAUGAGAGAAUCCUCUUGACCUGAAUGAAACAGCAGCUCUUAAAACUCAAAGCUGCACCCAUUUUACCACAGCACAAAAGAAUGAGGACACAUUAACUCCACUUCUCAAGCAUUCAAAAAUUCACUCCUUUUACACUUCAUCUGGAUCUCAGAAAGAACAAGGGAAAGAAAGUAAAAACAUAUUAAAGAUUUCCUUUCUUUCCCUUCCCUCUCGUUUCUUUCAUACUUUCCAAGAUCCAAAUGAAUACCAAGCGAUCCAAACAAUACACAUACAGCAAGUAAAUGAAAUCACGGUCGAAUUAAAGCUGAUAGACAAUCACACAAAUCUCGUAUUAGAUCGAGAUCUAGGAAAUCAGAGUUCUUAAAUUAAAGCAGAAAAUACUGAAUCAAAAUAAGAAUAAGCCAAGAAAUAUUAAAAUAAGUAAGCGAUCCAUAGAGAUCAUGAGAUCGCUCAAAAUUCACCAACUAAUUCAACAAAAUAGAAAAGAAAAUUGAAGAAAGCAAAGAUUACUAAUCAUCACAGAUUUAAUAUGAUUCUGAAAAUACCUGAGAAGCUUGAGCGAUGGAAGCAGCUGAUCUUGGUAGAGAGUGUAGCGUGUGAAAAGGAGAGGAGAGAAACAGCAGUACCCU
rnacentral:misc_RNA from 1 species